rnacentral:lncRNA from 1 species
CGGAAGAUGGUUCCGAAUCAACUGGAUAGGAUUUUUAAUUUCCGAAGGCACGAGCUCCCCUGGCAUCCGCAAAUGUGACCCGCAAUUUAGAGAGGAAGAGGAGCGCAGACCCUACCUGUCUGGAGCAACGGUCAGGAGAGAGGUGGGGAAGGGCUGGGCCCCUCUCGGUGUCCCGGGUUCCCGGCAGAAGUCUCCAGGGCUGAGGGAGUCUGCAGACACGGAGUUUCCGCGCCAGAGGAGCGGGUCCACGCGGACAGGCAGUUCCAGCUCUGGGACAUACUUUAUUCAGCUGGGUGCUGAAAAAGAAUCUUGGAAAUUAGGAAACUGAAUGAGGCCUCAUUUCACACUCAGAAUGUGGGUUGCAAUAGUCACUUCCUCUGCUGCUGGGAAAGAAAGAAUUAUACUACCUUUUGAAUUUUGGAUUAAGGAGAGAGGUGUUGGCUUGUCAAACUACCAUGUAUUCCUCAAGACAUAUUUUUGUGGCUUUAUAAAAUUCAAUAUAUAUUUCUAAAUUCAAAUAUAUUUUGUUGCAAUCUGGCCCUUGGACAAACUGAGGCCCUAGCAACUGAUGUGUAUGGCUUUCCAUAGAACCUUUCAGAUAAAAUUUACACAGCAUUUUACUGCAGCUAUUUCACACAAAGCAGAGGAUUUUGCCACAAAACUGAAAGAAAAAAGAAACUGCAUUCUUAAAUUUUUUAUAAAUCAAAAGGUAUAAAAAUAUCUACCUAAACGAUAAAGGAGAGGAGAAACCCCACCCGUGAUGGGAAGAAAGCCUAUUUCAGUUUUGCUUUUACUUCAAGUUCUUUUUUCCAUAUCUGGAAAGCAAUCGGAAUUUUAAUCUUGCCUUGGGUUCCUCCUGGAUUUGGGGAGAAGAUAAAACCUGAAAAUCUCUAAUCUGCAUGUGUUCAGCUGCGUAUCUUCCGGAUACGGAAGGAUCACACUGCACAGAGUGCUGGACUUGCAGGAGCCCCGCUUCUCAACCUCCAUCGCUUUAUGAAUGAAUUCACCAGAAAGGUAACUGGCCACUUGUACAAGGGGAAAUAAACCAACUAAACGUGACAUUGGAUUUUUCCCAGAUUCUUUAUUAAUGGUGCUUCUGCAUCGCUUUACCUUUUCAAGUAUAAGUUACAGCGGAUAAUUCUUCUGAGAAUGAUCUCCUAAGGCAUGUCUUCCUCUUUGCAUUUUUAUCUGGAUCCUGUCCUGUCUAUAGGGUCACAUUUUUUAUUAGGAAUGUUGCUGAAGAUCCCCUCAAAAUGACAAAUAUUACCAACUAGUCGAUGCUGAAUCCGACUUCUCCCUUUCUACAUUGCCUGAGAGAAGUCACUGGGGAAUACUCUGUACACGGAUUUUCACUGUUGGGGAAAACAGAGAGUCAAGGGAUUGGAUUGUGGAUUGCAUUGGUGGUUUUCCUCAGUUUCCUCAUCUUCUCCACAAGUUUCUACACAUCAAAUGCAGAGCAGCCCUUCUUCAAAGGACCUCCUACAGAAGCUGCUAAGGAACUCAGUCUGUAGCUCUGCGUGGAGCCAUGUGUAAACACUGAACCGAGGCCUGCCACCUCCUACUACCUAAGGGCCCAUUUUCAUCUGAUAUCAUCCCCCAGAAACAAACUCAUGCUGACUUCCAUGUUUUUUUUAGAUUAGAUACAUGGAGAAUUUUCCUUUCCCUUAGAAUUAAAAUCCUGCAUUCUAA